UACCCAGGACACUGAUAGAGAAAGAAGCACUGCCACUGUGGACAUGUCAUCUGUAAACAUUUCAAACUUUGCAGAUGGUUCUGCCUAACUGGGAGUAAAAAUUCCAGGCUCCAAAUUUCUUUACCCCAGAUAUUAAUUUUCUUGACAUUCUCUCUGGCCAAGCAGGUAUUUUCCCAGCUCUGGUCUAGGGAGAAGAGGGAGAGCCAAAGCCUGGAGAAAUGGGCCCUCUUGCCUCUCUCCUGCCACAGCUGCCACCUCUUCUCAUAAGAGGGCAGCGGUUACCAAGAAAGGCAACUCUCCUUUCUUUUUAAGCUCUCAGCUCAGCUGUAACAAAGAUAUCUUGUAGCUUUCCCCAGAUAUUGACUAUUGUAAAUGACUCUCUUCUGAAGUCAUUUAGUUGAGUAACAGUUAAAUCUAAUGGCAAGUUUGUAAUCUAAUGGGAAGAUACAAUCCAUUUGUAGUGAACAUGAAUGUAUAAGCACCCAGGUUAGGCACCAUGCCCUGCAGGGGUAGUAAUGUAAUUCAGCCCCUGCAUAUCUUUACCACCACAUUUCGUGCCAUGUCCUUUUAGCUAACUGGCCUCCAGCCAUGCUUACAGCUGCUUGAAGAUCUUUACCCUUACUCUUCCUUCUACCCAUUAUGGAGUAAUCCCAUUAUCUGAGGGCCCUGUGCUUUUCGUUGCUGUAUUCCCAGAACAUCUGGGCACACAGUAAAUACUUCCUUCAAUAAAUUAAAAAAAAAAAAGAAGAAAUAGUUCACUAUAAUCUAAGUUCCCCCAAGGGCAAGGAUCAUUUGCCAUUGUAGUAUUAGAAUCUAAUGCAAUGCCUGGCACAUAAUGGGAAAAUUUGUAAUUCUUACUGAAUAAAAGAAGGAAU
rnacentral:lncRNA from 1 species